AAAUUUCAUCGUGAUGGGGAUAGAUCAUUGCAAUUGUUGGUCUUCAACGAGGAAUGCCUAGUAAGCGCGAGUCAUCAGCUCGCGUUGACUACGUCCCUGCCCUUUGUACACACCGCCCGUCGCUCCUACCGAUUGAAUGGUCCGGUGAAGUGUUCGGAUCGCGGCGACGAGGGUGGUUCGCCGCCCCCGACGUCGCGAGAAGUCCAUUGAACCUUAUCAUUUAGAGGAAGGAGAAGUCGUAACAAGGUUUCCGUAGGUGAACCUGCGGAAGGAUCAUUG
rnacentral:rRNA from 2 species